rfam:Gorilla gorilla gorilla genomic chromosome, chr1, whole genome shotgun sequence
GCUGGGCGUGGUGGCGUGCGCCUGUAGUCCCAGCUACUCAGGAGGCUGAGGCAGGAGAAUCACUUGAACCCAGGAGGCAGAGGUUGCAGUGAGCCGAGAUUGCGUCACUGCACUCCAGCCUGGGCUACAGAGUGAGACUCUUGUCUCUA